GCUCAGGAUGAACGCUAGCUACAGGCUUAACACAUGCAAGUCGAGGGGUAGCAAGGUAGCAAUACCGCUGACGACCGGCGCACGGGUGAGUAACACGUAUCCAACCUUCCCAUAACUCGGGGAUAGCCUUUCGAAAGAAAGAUUAAUACCCGAUAGUACUUUAUUAAGGCAUCUUAAGAAAGUUAAAGAUUUAUUGGUUAUGGAUGGGGAUGCGUUCCAUUAGAUAGUUGGUGAGGUAACGGCUCACCAAGUCUUCGAUGGAUAGGGGUUCUGAGAGGAAGGUCCCCCACAUUGGUACUGAGACACGGACCAAACUCCUACGGGAGGCAGCAGUGAGGAAUAUUGGUCAAUGGGCGAGAGCCUGAACCAGCCAAG
rnacentral:rRNA from 1 species